AGGAAAGUAUUUGCAUUAAUGAUACAUAGGGGACACGGAUCACAAGAAGAAGAAAAAGACCAAUCCAGCAGCGUCAUUUGACAAGCUUUAUCAAAGAAGGGAGAGGGGUCUUCAGCCUCAUGCCGCUUUCGCAGUGCCUCUGUCGCGCUACCGUCGUCACCUCGUGGCGGCCUCACGCAACUGGGGCAUGUACCGAUGAUGCCAAGGAGGCGUGCCACCCUUUGCGAAGGUGCUCCUCCUUCCACGUAGUUUGGAGUCUAGAAUACCUAGGGUUUUCCAACCCUGUUGUCUAAUUAUGAGUUGAGAUGGGUUGUCCUGACCCAGUUUCUACCCUAGCCCGAAAAAGAACAUUGUUAUGUACACCUUUUUUUUUAACAUAUACACCUCCUUUUCUUUUGGGCUUAGUCUCUUUCUUUUUUAGUCUGAAAUAAAAUAAAAAUCGUUAUGUACA